rnacentral:rRNA from 1 species
UGAGCCCUACGGGGGGCAGCAGUGAGGAAUAUUGGUCAAUGGGCUUACGCCUGAACCAGCCAAGUCGCGUGAGGGAAUAAGGCCCUACGGGUCGUAAACCUCUUUUGCCGGGGAGCAAGGGCGGGGACGUGUCCCGGCCCGGAGAGUACCCGGAGAAAAAGCAUCGGCUAACUCCGUGCCAGCAGCCGCGGUAAUACGGAGGAUGCGAGCGUUAUCCGGAUUUAUUGGGUUUAAAGGGUGCGUAGGCGGGCUUUUAA